GAGAGAGAGAGAGAGAGAGGAGCAAAGUGGGAGAAGAGCGAUGGAGGCGUCGAAGCCUCCUACCUCCGCGGCUCCCCGGGCCGUGAACGGGAACGGAACCGCCGCCGCCUCAAAGGGAGGUGCCUCCCGUCCCACCUUCCCACCCACCAAGGCGCAGCAGUAUCGGCUACCCUACCGCCCCCAGCGGCGGCCUUCGCCCCGACGCAAGCGCCGCUGCCACCAGGGCUGCUGUCGCAUCUGCUGCCUGUGGCUCACCCUGCUGCUCAUCGCCCUCGUCCUUCUCGCCGCCAUCUCCGCCGGCGCUAUCUACGUCCUCUGCCUUCCCCAGCGCCCCUCCUUCUCCGUCUCCUCCCUCCGCCUCUCCGCCCUCGACGUCCGCUCCGUCGACCUGCUCACCUCCCGCCUCGACCUCUCCGUCACCGUCCGCAACCCCAACCAGAGGAUCGUCUUCGUCUUUGACGACGUCGCCCUCUCCGCCUCCUCGGGCGGAGUCACGAUAGGUGAGGGAACGAUCCCGGGCUUCGUCCAGGGCACCGACAACACCACGGUGCUCAAAGCCACCGUCUCGAGCUCGGGGCGGAGCCUGGACCCGACGGAGGCGUCGGGUCUGAGGCGGAAGAAACGGCAUUCCUUGGAGAUCUAUCUCGACACCAAGGCCGGCAUUAAGUUGGGAAGAUUCAAGUCGAUGCACGUGGGGAUCAGGAUUUCAUGCAAGGGGAUUGAGGCGUCGGUCACCAACGGCAACGCCACCGCCGGCUCAACCAAGGGCGCGGCCAAGUGCAAGGCAAGACUUCGUGUCAAGAUCUGGGGCUGGACUCUCUAAGAGACAUAUCAGUGUCUAUCUAAUUUGAUCUUCCCAAAGCCAAACGUACAAGAAGUCCAUGGGUAAGCAUUGCUCCUUUUGAAAGGACGAUUUUAAGAGUAAAGAAAAGGAGGUGGCGGAGGGAGCCCAUACUCCCAUGCAUGUCGGUGGGAGGAUCACGUUCACUCGCCUCGUCAUGUAUUUAUAUAUAAUACUUCUUCAGAGUUUGUAUGAACUGGCCUACCUACACUCUUCCAGUUCCAAUGUACUCGCUGCCUGAUGCGUUG